rnacentral:rRNA from 1 species
GCUGGCGGCAGGCUUACACAUGCAAGUCGAGCGCUGUAGCAAUACAGAGCGGCAGACGGGAGAGUAACACGUGGGAAAGUACCCUUCGGUUCGGAAUAACUCAGGGAAACUUGAGCUAAUACCGGAUACGUCCGAAAGGAGAAAGAUUUAUCGCCGAGGGAUCGGCCCGCGUCCGAUUAGCUAGUUGGUGAGGUAAUGGCUCACCAAGGCGACGAUCGGUAGCUGGUCUGAGAGGAUGAUCAGCCUCACUGGGACUGAGACACGGCCCAGACUCCUACGGGAGGCAGCAGUGGGGAAUAUUGGACAAUGGGCGCAAGCCUGACCCAGCCAUGCCGCGUGGGUGAUGAAGGCCUUAGGGUUGUAAAGCCCUUUCGGCGGGGAAGAUAAUGACGGUACCCGCAGAAGAAGCCCCGGCUAACUUCGUGCCAGCAGCCGCGGUAAUACGAAGGGGGCUAGCGUUGCUCGGAAUCACUGGGCGUAAAGCGCACGUAGGCGGAUCUUUAAGUCAGGGGUGAAAUCCUGGAGCUCAACUCCAGAACUGGCUUUGAUACUGGGAGAUCUCGAGUUCGGGAAAA